AUUGGGGUGUAGAAGAAAACCAGACAGAUUCCCACUGAUUUUCCAAAAUGAUGGAUGUUAUUACUACUAACCAGCUGCAUCCAAU
rnacentral:snoRNA from 1 species